GGCCCUUGGGAACAGGGCUCCACUUGGACCAGGUGGGAAUUGAUGAGCCAUGCCCUCACUCCCAGUUUCCUUUCCUCAGGUGGGACACCCUGAUGUGUGUUCUCUACUGCCUCCAGGGGAUAAACCCAGCUGUCCACAGCAGUGACCUGUUCAGAGCACAACCUGGACUUGCUGUCUUCCCUCGGCUAUGAUAACUCCUGGGGUCCCCUCCCUAAUGAAUGACUUGCACCAGAGUCCUUGUCCCUGAGUCUUCUGGGAAAACCCAAACUAUGGCCAGGGCUUCUGUUAGAGGCUAAGGGGACCACUUGCACAUAUCUGUGAGGGAGAUACACCUGAGGGCAGCAGGAGUGUCCAUCCAAAGGCGGACCGCGUGCCUGCUCACAGGAGAUGCUGCUGGAGGGCCCAGAAAGGCUCCCAUGGAAGACCCUUCCCUUUUCAUGGAGGAACCAGUAGCUUUGAGCACUGGGCAGUCAGUCCCAGAAGUGCAUCUUACAUCUGUGCUGUUACAUAAGAACCUUCUCCACCCCUUUCUCCUCCUCCCUACUCACCAGGGAGAAGACGUGAAUUUCCAAGACAGGGCUGUCUGCCUCAGGGGCUCCUCCGACCUUGCUGUCCAAUUUCAGAGUGUGAAUGCCCCCUUCUGCACCGGGUGGCAUUUCAAAAAAUAAAUAACUCCUCUCUUUCCUCCUCCCCAAUCCUGGGAGACACAGAAUAUCUUGUCUUUAACCACUGCCUAAAAUGCAGGAUUUUUCUUUUCUGGAUUAAAAACAUGUUUCUGUCCCAUAGAGGCCUGAUGCUCCUUCCAGGGAGCCCUUCCCUCUUCGUUUGAUCUUCUGGGAGCCUUUCUCCUGCCACCGGCUCCUGAUGAAUUAAACAAAAAGUGAGAAGCUGGGGAUUCUACAAGAAGAAAGUCAAGUGGUCCAAAUAGUGCAGGACGGCACCCAUCACGGUGCUGGGAGGAAGCCGGGAGGAGAUUCUGGGCCUCCCCUUACAGCUUCUUCCUGCCUCUCACGUGAAGGGGCUCAGAAGGUAACAGUUCCCUGGAGUCACCUGGAGCCCUUUGGAGGAUGAGGCUGCAGGAGAAGGAACAGAAGGGCAAGGAUGGAUGGGAGAAUUGGCUCUCACCGCGUGGUAGUUGCAUUUAGCCCAGGGCAAGCUAAUUGGAGGGCUUCCCUAGUGACUCAGUGGUAGAGAAUCCACCGGGAAUGAAGGAGGCAUGGAUUUGAUCCCUGGGUUGGGAAGAUCCCCUGGAGAAGGAAAUGGCAACCCACUCCAGUAUUCGUGCCUGGAGAAUCCCAUAGACAGAGGAGCCUGACAGGCUAUAGUGUCACAGAGUCGGACAUGAGUGAGUGACUAAACAACUCGAGGACAUGCCUUUGGGGCCUGUGCCAUGCUCUUCCAUGUGGCUUCAGUGAUGGCAGAUCUUGGAAUCUGGGUCUGCCUGGCUUGUUCCCAGGAGAAAUUUAUGGGAUCAAGGAAUGAGCAAACCAUUUCCAGGAUCCACAAUGAGGUGUGAUUAAUUACCACAGCUGGAUGACCUUGACUUUUUUGCUUGGCCGGUUAAUGGCCCUGGAAGAAGUUUUCAGAAAAUAGUUGAGUGAUAUGUCGGCUCUCUAGCACAGCCCCGGAGUUCAUAGCACCGAUACCCACUGCCAGAAGGAGCGCCAUGUUUCCGAGGGAGCCGCCUUUGCAGAUUCCUCGAUGGUUGGGACCAUCAUUCCGUGACUUGGGGCACCUUGCCAGGGCUUACUCUGCUCCGAAUCUCCAGCUCUGAGCACAGUGUGUCGCACACGGGGCUGAACAUGGUAUCCUGGGCUACCUGGAGCCUAUGGCCCAGCACAAUCCAGCUUCCCAGCUGAGGACUGACUGGCCAUGACAACUGCCUGAGCUUAAGCAAGACUUUUGAUAAUGAAAAAAUGGGAAAAAACUACUUUAAAAAGAUGGAGAGUAAGAGGCAUAAAUCUCUUCCUCGUUGGACUCUGUGGCCCGCCACUCUCUGUUUUGCAUCAGACGCUGCUCAGCCAUGGGGGAAGUUCUCUGGGGCUUGGGAUCCACCCCUCCCAUGCCACCACCCCUGUAGAAGAGUUGACUGAAGGAAGGGGCAAAGCCAAGAAAUCUCUACUGUCUCUUGGGGUACAGAAUGCCAAAGGCCCAUCACCCUGGGUGCUCAGUGGGGAUUAAGCUGGAGGAAAAGAGCCCCCAAUGGAUGCUGCCCUUGUGGCCUCUACCCCUGAACACAUGUGUUGGGGGUGUCAUGUGACCAGUCCUAGUCUACCUACAGAUCUGUGGUGGUGAGGCUCCUAAGUCAAGGAUGUUUCAAUUAUUACUAUUGGGCAACCAUUCAUCCCGAAACUUUGCAGCUUUUCUUUGCUCAUGGUUUCCUGGGCUGGGAAAUCAGGAAGGGCUUGGCUGAGAAGUUCUCACUUGGAGUCUUUUAUACUGUUACACUCAGCUGCCAGCUGGGAGUCAUCUGAAGGCUGGACUAUAUUGGACGUUCAAGAUGGCACACCCCCAGGGCUGGCGUUGACUUGGCCUGUCAGCCUGGAGCUCAGUUGACCCUGUGGAUGGGGGCACCUCUGUGAGGACCCUCCAGCAUGACAGUCUCAGAGUGGUUUGACUUCUUCAUGGCAGUUAGCAACCCCCAGAGUGAGCAUUCUGACAGCCGGGUGGAAGCCACGUGGCCUUUUCUGACCUGCCUUUGGACGUCAUGCAAUGUCACUUCUGCUCCAUUCUCUGGGCUAUGGCAAGUCGCUGAGGCUUGUGCAGGUUCAAAAAGAGGGGCCUAGGCCCUACCUUCUGACCCAGGAGGUCACAAGAGGGUACUGAGCAGAGGAAGGACAUGUCUGACUUCGAUUUAAGGAUUUCCCGAUCUGCCUGUUUGCUCCAGAACUGGCUCUGAACCCCACAGGAACUUUGCUGUGAAUAAGCAAGGAGGGGGUACCAGGGGGAACUUCUGCCACCACCCUUCACUGCUGAAAACCCCUUUGGUGGGGGCAGACCUUCCCCCUCGUGGAUGACGCUCAUGUACAUAAUUUCUGACAAGGUGGGCUUCCAGGGUCAGUAAGUGCCUACCAUGCCAGGCAGCUCGAAAAUGACCUGCCAGCACAAUAUUUCUAUUGGAGGAAAAACAGGGGAAAGGGCAAAAGUGGGUAAAUGCACUCUAAGCCCCAUUCUUGGAACAAGCAUGCUUGCCUCUUGGCUCCACAUCUUGCUCAAAACAGCCCAAGUCUGACCACUUCUCCCCGUUUCUGCUUCCACCUGCCUGGUCUGAGACACCAUCAUCUGUCACUUGAAUUGUUACUGGGCUGCCUGCUGCUCCCCUGUGACCCCUACAGUCUGUUUCCCACACAGCAGAAAGAAGGAUCCCUCAGCCCAAGUCAGACAUGUCCCUCCUCUGAUCAGAGCCCUGCUGCGAUACUCUAUCUCUCUCAGAGUAAGAGCCAGAGUCCUUACAAUGCCCUGCAAGACCCUCUGGGAUGUGAGCCCCUGUGAUCACCUUGGCCUUACUUCCUCCUUGUCACCCGCCCCCAACCCUUUCUGUUCCAACCACCCUGGGAUCCUUAAAAAAAAUUUUUUUUUAAUUGGAGUAUAGCUGAUUUACAAUGUUGUAUUAGUUUCUGCUGUACAACAAAGUGAACCAGUUAUACAUAUAUACCUAUAACCACUCUUUUAGAUUCUUUUCUUAUAUAUGUCAUUAUGGAUUAUUGACUAGAGUUCCCUAUGCUAUACAGCAGGUCCUUAUUAGUUAUCUAUUUGAUAUACAGUCGUGUGUGUAUGUCAUUCCCAAUUUCCCAGUUUAUCCCUCCCUCUUUGCUCCGUGGUAACUAUGUUGGUUUUUUACAUCUGUGACUAUAUUUCAGUUUUGUAGAUAAGUUUAUUUGUACCAUUUUUGAAAAAGAUUUUUUAGA